rnacentral:rRNA from 1 species
ACUACGGGAGGCAGCAGUGAGGAAUAUUGGUCAAUGGGCGGAAGCCUGAACCAGCCAAGUAGCGUGCAGGAUGACGGCCCUACGGGUUGUAAACUGCUUUUAUACGGGAAUAACGCGCCUUACGUGUAGGGCUUUGCAUGUACCGCAUGAAUAAGGACCGGCUAAUUCCGUGCCAGCAGCCGCGGUAAUACGGAAGGUCCGGGCGUUAUCCGGAUUUAUUGGGUUUAAAGGGAGCGUCGGCCGCAUGUCAAGCGUGCUGUGAAAUGUCCGGGCUCAACCCGGGCCUUGCAGCGCGAACUGGCGUGCUUGAGUCCGCGGAAAGCAGGCGGAAUUCGUCGUGUAGCGGUGAAAUGCUUAGAUAUGACGAAGAACCCCGAUUGCGAAGGCAGCUUGCUGCAGCGGAACUGACGCUGAUGCUCGAAAGCGCGGGUAUCGAACAGGAUUAGAUACCCCGGUAGUC